rnacentral:rRNA from 1 species
CCCUUAGAUGUCCUGGGCCGCACGCGCGCUACACUGAUGCGUUCAACGAGACAACCUUGGUCGAGAGGCCCGCGGUAAUCUUUUGAAUGCGCAUCGUGAUAGGGAUAGAUCAUUGCAAUUAUUGAUCUUGAACGAGGAAUUCCUAGUAAACGCGAGUCAUCAGCUCGCAUUGAUUACGUCCCUGCCCUUUGUACACACCGCCCGUCGCACCUACCGAUUGAACGAUUCGGUGAAAACUCGGGACCGUGGCUGCGCGUCCUUUAUUGGAUGCGCUUCCGUGGGAACUUGUGUAAACCUCAUCGUUUAGAGGAAGGUGAAGUCGUAACA